GGGCUUUGCCCUGGGGCCAAGCCGCGAACGGGUGAGUAACACGUGGGUAACCUGCCCCGAUAACCGGGACAACCCGAGGAAACUCGGGCUAAUACCGGAUGUGCUCGCCGGACACCAGUCCGGCGCGUAAAGGAAGCUUCGGCCUCCGUAUCGGGAGGGGCUCGCGGCCCAUUAGCUAGUUGGUGGGGUAAUGGCCUACCAAGGCAACGAUGGGUAGCUGGUCUGAGAGGACGAUCAGCCACACUGGGACUGAGACACGGCCCAGACUCCUACGGGAGGCAGCAGUGGGGAAUCUUGCGCAAUGCGCGAAAGCGUGACGCAGCAACGCCGCGUGGGGGAAGAAGGCCUUCGGGUUGUAAACCCCUUUCAGGAGGGACGAAGGUUCGGCGGUGAAUAGCCGACCGGACUGACGGUACCUCCACAAGAAGCCCCGGCUAACUACGUGCCAGCAGCCGCGGUAAUACGUAGGGGGCUAGCGUUGUCCGGAAUCAUUGGGCGUAAAGCGCGCGUAGGCGGCCCGGUAAGUCCGUUGUAAAAGUCAAAGGCUCAACCUUUGAAAGCCGAUGGAUACUGUCGGGCUAGAGUCCGGAAGAGGCGAGUGGAAUUCCUGGUGUAGCGGUGGAAUGCGCAGAUAUCAGGAGGAACAUCAAUAGCGAAGGCAGCUCGCUGGGACAGUACUGA
rnacentral:rRNA from 1 species